rfam:Camelus ferus unplaced genomic scaffold scaffold875, whole genome shotgun sequence.
GAGGGUAUAGCUUAGUGGUAGAGUGCACUGUUUAGCAUGCAUGAGGUCCUGGGAUCAAUCCCCAGUCCCUCCA